rnacentral:rRNA from 1 species
GAUGAACGCUGGCGGCGUGCUUAACACAUGCAAGUCGAACGGAAAGGCCCAAGCUUGCUUGGGUACUCGAGUGGCGAACGGGUGAGUAACACGUGGGUGAUCUGCCCUGCACUUCGGGAUAAGCCUGGGAAACUGGGUCUAAUACUGGAUAGGACCACUUCUUGGAUGGUGUGGUGGAAAGUUUUUUAGGUGUGGGAUGAGCUCGCGGCCUAUCAGCUUGUUGGUGGGGUAAUGGCCUACCAAGGCGUCGACGGGUAGCCGGCCUGAGAGGGUGUACGGCCACAUUGGGACUGAGAUACGGCCCAGACUCCUACGGGAGGCAGCAGUGGGGAAUAUUGCACAAUGGGCGCAAGCCUGAUGCAGCGACGCCGCGUGGGGGAUGACGGCCUUCGGGUUGUAAACUCCUUUCGCUAGGGACGAAGCGUUUUUGUGACGGUACCUGGAGAAGAAGCACCGGCUAACUACGUG